rnacentral:rRNA from 1 species
CCGGGCGCACGGGUGAGUAACACGUAUGGAACCUGCCCUAUGCAGGGGGAUAAGCGGAAGAAAUUCCGUCUAAUACCGCAUAACACCAUUUGGAGACAUCUCCAGGUGGUCAAAGGAGGCGACUCCGGCAUAGGAUGGCCAUGCGUCGCAUUAGCUAGUCGGCGGGGUAACGGCCCACCGAGGCGACGAUGCGUAGGGGUUCUGAGAGGAAGGUCCCCCACACUGGUACUGAGACACGGACCAGACUCCUACGGGAGGCAGCAG